CCAACCAUAGCUCAGUUGGUAGAGCGGAGGACUGUAGAUCCUUAGGUCACUGGUUCGAAUCCGGUUGGUUGGA
rfam:Pristionchus pacificus strain PS312 contig12893, whole genome shotgun sequence.